UCAAACAUCAGUGGACGAAGGCAGCAUUGCAAAAAUUAUGUAUUAGAAGUUGUUCCAGAGUCUCAGUCUGAAGGAGCAGAACUAAGAAGAGUGGACUGCCACACCUAGGUUUCAAUUCCAAUCCGGUUUGGCCAGUGAGGAAGGUCACGUUACCGGAUUGAAACAAUCAGAGGCUAUCAUGCAGCUGCAUGUUGCUGUUUAAUGCUGGCCCUAGGACAGAAUGAGGCAAAGAGGACCCAGAAAUUAGUUUGCUCUAGUUUUGGAAGAUAUUGGAAAGAAGUCAGAAGAGCGCAUAAUGGAAGAGCUGCACAAUCUGACAAUCCACAUAGGCCGAAUCAACCGAAGAACAACUUGAAGCUCUCUUCGAUUACCACCGUGUUCAACCCUUCGAUGUUGUCUGCCUCGACGGGUUCACAUGGCUUCAUGACAUCACAUAAAUGGUGUGACACAAUUGGAGCUUUUAUAAAUGUUGAGGCAUCUGGGACAGGAGGCCUAUCCUGCUUGUCAGGAGAACAUGAAUCUAUACAUAAAGAGAAUUCUUCCAUGCAUGAAAGAUUUCAAUUGUCCAAGAUGAGCACUAUGUCAUUGAUAUGCUUUGGGCGGUUCUCAAUAAUUUUUCCAUGGAAAAUUAGGUGAAAUUUUUGAAGUUUUGAUACAUAGGUUGUUUGAUAUAAUAUCUAAAGGAUCAUAAGUACAGGUAUAUGCUUAUUUUAUCUUUGCUGAUGCUUUAAUGUAAUCUCAUGGUUCAUUUUAAAUUUGCUCAAAUAUUGGGUUGGGCUGAUGAAUAUGAUGGUGGUGUUGCAACCUAAUUUGUACUGCAUUGAAUGGAUUUUGAGUUAGGUGUUAGCUUCCUUGUGUUGUCAAUUUCGCGAACAAACACAUUUAAGUUGUAUUAUUGUUUUUGGUUGUUUUGUGUCCUAUGUAUGGGAUCCUUGUUUAUCUUGUCAAUCUACAUGGACCGCUCGACCAAAGGAGCUUGAACUCGAGCACGAGCAAAGAAGUUGGCCUUCCAAUAUUUCAGUCUUUGCUUUGAGAUAUUGGGAGGUUUCUUUUACCACUGAAGCGAUAGCUUUAGAGCUCGAGUGAAUUGACAGAGCAUUCAUCGGUGGAUUCCGAAGGGUUUGAGCUUGGAGGCUUUGAAGGUAUUCGAAGUAGCUCAUCCUCGUGGAUUCGACUUGGAUAUUAUGGAUUCAACACUAGGCUAAGCAAUUCUGAGACGAAGAUGUUGGUGGAAGAGACACAAGGAGUGGAAGUCAAUUCUUCAGUGAGCAUUGGUUCAUGGCGUGUACUCUUGUGUAAUUUCAUUAUCUUCAUAGUGGAUUGUUUAGUGGCUUUUAGUUCGUGAUUUUUUCUAUCACAAUUAGAGGUGCUCCAAUUUUAGUUUUUCCACGUUAAAUCUUUUGUAUUGAUUUAUCAAUUGUGAGACAACAAGCUCAAUCACUUUCAUUUGUGUUGAUUUAGAUUAUUUGUUUUGUGUGUUUUUGGGAUUUGUAGUAAUUGAAUAUAUUUCGAAUCAUGAAUCACAUAACUUAGGG